rnacentral:rRNA from 1 species
CGUAGGGUGCGAGCGUUAAUCGGAAUUACUGGGCGUAAAGCGUGCGCAGGCGGUUUGUUAAGAUAGGCGUGAAAUCCCCGGGCUCAACCUGGGAACUGCGCUUAUGACUGGCAAGCUAGAGUACGGCAGAGGGGGGUGGAAUUCCACGUGUAGCAGUGAAAUGCGUAGAGAUGUGGAGGAACACCAAUGGCGAAGGCAGCCCCCUGGGUCGAUACUGACGCUCAUGCACGAAAGCGUGGGUAGCAAACAGGAUUAGAUACCCUGGUAGUCCACGCCCUAAACGAUGUCAACUAGGUGUUGGAUAGGUAAAACCAUUUAGUACCGGAGCUAACGCGUGAAGUUGACCGCCUGGGGAGUACGGCCGCAAGGUUA